AAAAAAAAAGUCAGAAAUUAGUAAUUCUUUUACGAUUUAAGGUUCGGUGGUGGUAUUAAUCCUGUUUUUGGGUUCAACCCACUGAAGGUUAGAUCAAAGAAGAUGAACUAAUUUCAACUAACCUGAGGUUAAAUGGAUGGAUUACCCUCUUUCCACAUAAUCUACACGAGCUUGGAUCCACAUGAAAUCUACGAGGAGAAAACUGAGCAAAAAGAUUGAAAUCAUUUGGCAUGGAUAGAUUGAGAUGAAUCUGAAUAGAAGUGAGUAGGCAAAAUACCAAAGGGUUUCAAGGGUAUACAAUUACGCCGAAUUGAAGUAGAGUUUCAGCUCCGAUUUGAUUAUGUAUCGAGGAAGAGGCGCUGCACCUGCAAGUACUCUUCAACUUCCACUUUCCUAAUUUUUUUUUUU
rnacentral:lncRNA from 1 species